ACCGGCGGCUCGAGUGGUGGCCACUAUUACUGGGCUUAAAGCGUUCGUAGCCGGCUUGUUAAGUCUCUGGGGAAAUCUUCCGGCUUAACCGGGAGGCGUCUCAGGGAUACUGGCAGGCUUGGGACCGGAAGAGGUGAGGGGUACUCCAGGGGUAGGGGUGAAAUCCUGUAAUCCUUGGGGGACCACCUGUGGCGAAGGCGUCUCACCGGGACGGCUCCGACGGUGAGGAACGAAAGCUGGGGGAGCAAACCG
rnacentral:rRNA from 1 species